rnacentral:lncRNA from 1 species
GUACCUAUUUACUUUCAACGUGAGUUGCUGUGAUAAGAAUUUAUUACAGGACCUUGGGGAAAUGUUGUUACAUCUAUUAAAAAAAAAGUUGCCAUUAAUUUUGUGGAAUUAGAACAUCGAUUUAAUUUGGCCUUCUUUAAUUGAUGUUAGGUCAGAAUGAUUUGCGGACAAACAUGUCAUGUUGACUCCCUGUGACUGACCAUCAUGGGCAUUGACUUCUGGGCUUUGGAACAGCUGCUGCUUCCGUAGACUGUUGAGGCAUAAAAACCUCUUGGAAUAGGACUCAGAAGAUGUUUCUGUUUUUUUCAAUAAGCACGUGAAAUUCCCAGAUUGGGAUUGGAGCUAUGGAAUUUGUAUUUCUGUCAUAAUGUGUGGUCUCACCUGGGCGUACUCUACCCUUUUCCCUACACCAAAUGUGCAUAGCACAGUUGGGUCUGACUUGCCCAAGCUACCUCCUAAAAGUCAAGGUUGUCAGACACCAAGUGAUGUAUGAGCUCCAACAGCACUGCUCUGCAGUUGGUGACCUGCCUGCUCAGGGAGUUCAGGUCCACGGUUGGAUUAACAUCUCAUUCCUUCUGUAUGUCUGGAUAUCUGGAAUUGCCUUGACAUGUUGAAAGAAAUGCCAUCAAGCUUCUUUUACGUAUUUUGGAUGUGCUUUAAUUCUUAGUAUACUUCAGCUUCAUACCUGUUCUGUAAUAAUACAUCACAUUUGAAAUCACAGUGACAGUGGAUUAUCCAACUUCUGUGGAGUCAAAAUCAGAUGCAGCAUCUCUUGUACGUAGCGAAUUCAGGAUCACUCAGUGCAUAUGCUUCCUCCCUCCCUGACUAUUUUACUACCCUUGCAUAGUUGGUCUUCAUACAGGCGUUAACAGAGAACCAUUCAUAAUGUCAAAUGCUUAAAAUUUCCAAUCUCAGUAAGAAAGUUGCCAUCUUGUAGUCUUCCUGUUUGCUGGGACUUGCUCCUUUAAGGCAAAGAUGAAGCUUGAUGUAGCUUGUGUAGAGAAGUUUCCCAAAUUUCCAGAGAACCAACCGAAGGCUUUUAAUAGCUGCCUUCUUGUACUUGUGCUUACCUCACCUCUGCUCCGCAGGCAGUGCAUCUUCUCAUUGUGUCCUAGCCCUGAGGCUCUGACACAGAGCUGCCUCUAGCUUCACACCAUACCGGGCAGUGCGGCAGCCCUUCUAGCUGGCUCCUGCCAGCAAGGCCUGAAAUUGCCACUGCCCUCACAUUCGGCCUUUUGAUGGUUUCUUACUGAGCUCUAACAGAAACAACAAAUCUCCUUAUUUUGUUGCUAAGUCCAUGGUGUUUAAAUUGCACUGACUCUUUGGUCAGAGUUCAGCGCAGCAAACUGUAGGGAAUGGUUUUUGACUGAGAUGGAGCUUAGGAGAUGUAUUAUUUAUUGCAUUCAAUUUUGAAAUGUGGCAAGUGCUAUAAAAUGUUUUUUCCCCAGCUAACUCAAAGCUAUGAAGGAUAGAGAGCCUGCUUCAUUUCAAAUACCUUGCCUUGCCUGUUCUUGGUGGAACUGAAAAUAUGUUUAGAGGGUUAUUUUUUGGUUGUUAUUUUCCCAUGUAUUUGAUAACCCAUUAGAAGUCUUGGUCAGUUUCAAGAAGUAACUGGAAGAGAGUCACAAAAUGCUGCUCGUGUCAUUAGACAUUCUUACUUUAUAUAAAAAAUACUUCAUAUGAAUAAAAAGCUGAAUUUCUUUUAAAAUUUUAAGAUA